rnacentral:rRNA from 1 species
CAGUAGCCACGGUAAAACGUAGGUGGCAAGCGUUGUCCGGAAUUAUUGGGCGUAAAGGGCUCGCAGGCGGUUUCUUAAGUCUGAUGUGAAAGCCCCCGGCUCAACCGGGGAGGGUCAUUGGAAACUGGGAAACUUGAGUGCAGAAGAGGAGAGUGGAAUUCCACGUGUAGCGGUGAAAUGCGUAGAGAUGUGGAGGAACACCAGUGGCGAAGGCGACUCUCUGGUCUGUAACUGACGCUGAGGAGCGAAAGCGUGGGGAGCAAACAGGAUUAGAUACCCGCGUAGUCCCUGUCUCUUAUAC